rnacentral:rRNA from 1 species
AGAGUUUGAUCCUGGCUCAGAACGAACGCUAGCGGGAUGCCUCAAACAUGCAAGUCGCACGCGAAAGUUCCUUCGGGGGCAAGUAGAGUGGCGCACGGGUGAGUAACACGUAGCUAACGUACCCUAUCGCUGGGGAUAACUCCGGGAAACCGGGGCUAAUACCGAAUGAUCUAACGAGGACUGCGGUUCUUGUUGGUAAAGCCUUACGGCGCGAUAGGAUCGGGUUGCGGUCCAUUAGCUUGUUGGCGGGGUAACGGCCCACCAAGGCUACGAUGGAUAGCUGGUCUAAGAGGAUGAUCAGCCACACUGGAACUGGAACACGGUCCAGACUCCCACGGGAGGCAGCAGUUGGGAAUAUUGCACAAUGGGCUCAGGCCUGAUGCAGCAAUCCCGCGUGAGCGAUGAAGGCCUUCGGGUUGUAAAGCUCUUUUAGCAGGGACGAAGGGAAACUUGACGGUACCUGCAGAAAAAGCACCGGCUAACUCCGUGCCAGCAGCCGCGGUAAUACGGAGGGUGCAAGCGUUGUUCGGAAUUAUUGGGCGUAAAGCGCGUGUAGGCGGUUAUCUAAGUCUGGUGUGAAAGCCCGGGGCUUAACUCCGGAAGUGCACUGGAUACUGGAUAGCUAGAGGACGAGAGAGGAAAGUGGAAUUCCUGGUGUAGGGGUGAAAUCCGUAGAUAUCAGGAGGAACACCGGCGGCGAAGGCGGCUUUCUGGCUCGUAUCUGACGCUGAGACGCGAAAGCGUGGGGAGCAAACAGGAUUAGAUACCCUGGUAGUCCACGCCCUAAACGAUGAAUACUAGUCGUCGGGAUACCUAAUUGUCUCGGUGACGAAGCUAACGCAUUAAGUAUUCCGCCUGGGGAUUACGGUCGCAAGAUUAAAACUCAAAUGAAUUGACGG